UACGUAGGGCGGGCAAGCGUUGUCCGGAAUUAUUGGGCGUAAAGAGCUCGUAGGCGGCUUGUCACGUCGGGUGUGAAAGCCCGGGGCUUAACCCCGGGGUCUGCAUUCGAUACGGGCUGGCUAGAGUGUGGGUAGGGGAGGAUCGGAAUUCCUGGUGUAGCGGUGAAAUGCGCAGAUAUCAGGAGGAACACCGGUGGCGAAGGCGGAUCUCUGGGCCAUUACUGACGCUGAGGAGCGAAAGCGUGGGGAGCGAACAGG
rnacentral:rRNA from 1 species